rnacentral:rRNA from 1 species
UACGUAGGUGGCAAGCGUUGUCCGGAAUUACUGGGUGUAAAGCGCGUGUAGGCGGGAGGCCAAGUCUGCUGUGAAAUCGCCCGGCUCAACUGGGCGGGGUCGGUGGAAACUGGUCACCUGGAGGACGGUAGAGGCGAGUGGAAUUCCCGGUGUAGUGGUGAAAUGCGUAGAGAUCGGGAGGAACACCAGUGGCGAAGGCGGCUCGCUGGGCCGGCCCUGACGCUGAGGUGCGAAAGCGUGGGGAGCAAACAGG